rnacentral:rRNA from 1 species
AGAGUGGCGAACGGGUGAGUAAUAUAUCGGAACGUGCCCAGUCGUGGGGGAUAACGUAGCGAAAGUUACGCUAAUACCGCAUACGAUCUACGGAUGAAANCGGGGGAUCGCAAGACCUCGCGCGAUUGGAGCGGCCGAUAUCAGAUUAGGUAGUUGGUGAGGUUAAAAGGCUCACCCAAGCCGACGAUCUGUAGCUGGUCUGAGAGGACGACCAGCCACACUGGGACUGAGACACGGCCCAGACUCCUACGGGAGGCAGCAGUGGGGAAUUUUGGACAAUGGGCGCAAGCCUGAUCCAGCAAUGCCGCGUGCAGGAUGAAGGCCUUCGGGUUGUAAACUGCUUUUGUACGGAACGAAACGGUGAGCUCUAAUACAGUUUGCUAAUGACGGUACCGUAAGAAUAAGCACCGGCUAACUACGUG